rnacentral:rRNA from 1 species
CAUGCAAGUCGAGCGAAGCUUUUCAGUAGUUUACUACAGAAAAUGACUGAGCGGCGAACGGGUGAGUAACGCGUGAGCAAUCUACCUUAGUUACAGGGAUAGCCCGAGGAAACUCGGAUUAAUACCUGAUAUUCUUUACAUUUCGCAUGAAAUUAAAAGGAAAGGUCAGCCGAACUAAGAUGAGCUCGCGUUCUAUCAGCUAGUUGGUGAGGUAAAAGCUCACCAAGGCAACGACGGAUAGCUGGUCUGAGAGGACGAUCAGCCACACUGGGACUGAGACACGGCCCAGACUCCUACGGGAGGCUGCAGCAGGGAAUAUUGUGCAAUGAACGAAAGUUUGACACAGCGACACCGCGUGUGGGAUGACGGAUCUAGGUUUGUAAACCACUUUCAGGAGGGAAGAAAAUGACGGUACCUCCACAAGAAGCCCCGGCCAACUACGUGCCAGCAGCCGCGGUAAUACGUAGGGGGCGAGCGUUGUCCGGAUUUAUUGGGCGUAAAGAGCUCGUAGGCGGUUCAACAAGUCGGUCGUAAAAGUUCAGGGCUCAACCCUGAAAUGUCGAUCGAUACUGUUGUGACUAGGAUACGGUAGAGGUGAGUGGAAUUCCGAGUGUAGCGGUGAAAUGCGUAGAUAUUCGGAGGAACACCAAUUGCGAAGGCAGCUCACUGGGCCGCUAUCGACGCUGAGGAGCGAAAGCUAGGGGAGCAAACAGGAUUAGAUACCCUGGUAGUCCUAGCUGUAAACGAUGGAUACUAGACGUAGGAACUGGAUUGACGGUUUCUGUGUCGUAGCUAACGCGUUAAGUAUCCCGCCUGGGGAGUACGGUCGCAAGACUAAAACUCAAAGGAAUUGACGGGACCCCGCACAAGCGGCGGAGCAUGCGGCUUAAUUCGAUGAUACCCGUAGACCUUACCUGGACUGACAUAUAGGUCAAGCUAUAGAGAUAUAGUGUGCAUAGCGCCUAUACAGUUGUUGCAUGCUGUCGUCAGCUCGUGUCGUGAGAUGUUGGGUUAAGUCCCGCAACGAAGCGGCAACCCCUGU